CCAUAGAUCAAGAUUUGAAGACAAUUGGAGCAAUUUUUCUUCUUUAAGAGCCAGUCCUCUCUCUGGAAAGUAUCUUCUGUUAAUGGGCCAUUAAGUCUCACUGCAUUACUGAUAAAAUUGCAUCAUCCCGUUGUGAGAUGCUCCACCUGGGAGGAGGGGCCAGGCAUUCCUACCUGAAUAUAAUCUGAUAUUUGGAACAUCAGUCAGCCUUUUCCACUGGAUUCCCAGAGGAAGACCAAGGCUAUCUACACCACCACUGGACAUUUAGAAGAAAACUACACCCUUCUUCUACAGGGUCACUGCUUCAACAGAACCACAUCUGUCACUCCAGGAGGACUGCAGCCACCAUUUAAUUGGACUCCUACCCAACAGGCCGUAUUCUAACUCUGUCGGUGUUGUUUGGUAUUACUGCAUUUUUAUUUUUAUUUUUUCCUUUAAUUUUUAUUUUUUUCUGAUAAGGAACUGUUAUUUCUACUCCCAUAUCUUUUCCUGAGAGCCCCUUAAUUUCAAAAUUAGAAUAAUUUGGAGGGAGGGUGUUUGUAUUUUCCAUUUCAAGAGAAGCUCCUGCCUUCCUUAGAGGACACCUGUCCUUUCAAACCAAGACAGCAGAUCAUAUUGAUCAUAUUCAGAUAAUAUUGAUGAUUUUCUUUUCAUAGCCUAUAUUAUAUUCUCAUCAUGUGGUGGUCUUUGUCACUUAUAUUUUUUGUAGUAGCUUUAAGAACAACUGUGAAUCAGAACUUCCAGGCCCAUAAGGUUUUACCCACAUAAUCUAGCAACAUCUGCGUUCUUAUAUAUUUUGGAGAUCACCCAUUUUAAGCUGAUCUCUUCUUAUUUUUCUUUGAUCCUUGCUCUUAGCAUAAUUUAUGCAGGAUAUGUUUUUGAGAUCUAUCUCAGCCACGCAUGCUCUUGAGAUCUUACACUGCCUGCAGCUGAAGAUAGAAAAAAAAGCUGAAGCCAGUCCAGCCAUUUUUUGGGUUUCACGUGGGUUGCUGUGUGCAGUAAUCCACAGUCUGGUUGAAAUGGUUUUCUGGAUGAAAUGUUACAAAAUGGGGUUAUCUUUUUAGCUGGAGGAAAGAGGUCUAAAAAUAACCUUUGUUUCUAAAGUGGAGUAAGGUUUAUCCAUUUCAUAAUUGACUGGCAAGUGUAGCUUAAAAAGAUCAGAGAAAUUAACAGUAUGAGUAUUUCUUAAAAUGUUAAAAUAUUUUCAUUGUUGCUACUGUUCUGCCUUUGUAAACCUUUUGUGGUCAAGAUUUUUCUACAGGACAGGAAGAAGGUGGGAGUAAAGGAAAAGAAAGCACAUGAUAUUGCAGCUGUAGUUCCAAAUUAUUUUUCUCUUAAUAAAGAUUUUCCACUGUUGGCAACA